rnacentral:rRNA from 1 species
AGUGAACGCUGGCGGUAGGCCUAACACAUGCAAGUCGAACGGCAGCACAGUAAGAGCUGGCUCUUACGGGUGGCGAGUGGCGGACGGGUGAGGAAGACAUCGGACUCUACUUUUUCGUGGGGGAUAAUGCGGGGAAACUUACGCUAAUACCGCAUACGACCUUCGGGUGAAAGCAGGGGAUCUUUGGACCUUGCGCGAUUGAAUGAGCCGAUGUCGGAUUAGCUUGUUGGCGGGGUAAAGGCCCUACAAGGCGACGAUCCGUAGCUAGUCUGAGAGGAUGAUCAGCCACACUGGAACUGAGACACAGUCCAGACUCCUAAGGGAGGCAGCAGUGGGGAAUAUUGGACAAUGGGGGAAAGCCUGAUCCAGCCAUACCGCGUGGGUGAAGAAGGCCUUCGGGUUGUAAAGCCCUUUUGUUGGGAAAGAAAAGCAGCAGGUUAAUACCCCGCUGUUCUGACGGUACCCAAAGAAUAAGCACCGGCUAACUUCGUG